rnacentral:rRNA from 1 species
UACGGAGGGUGCAAGCGUUAAUCGGAAUUACUGGGCGUAAAGCGCACGCAGGCGGUCUGUCAAGUCGGAUGUGAAAUCCCCGGGCUCAACCUGGGAACUGCAUUCGCAACUGGCAGGCUAGAGUCUUGUAGAGGGGGGUAGAAUUCCAGGUGUAGCGGUGAAAUGCGUAGAGAUCUGGAGGCAUACCGGUGGCGAAGGCGGCCCCCUGGACAAAGACUGACGCUCAGGUGCGAAAGCGUGGGGAGCAAACAGGAUUAGAUACCCUGGUAGUCCACGCCGUAAACGAUGUCGAUUUGGAGGUUGCGCCCUUGAGGCGUGGCUUCCGGAGCUAACGCGUUAAAUCGACCGCCUGGGGAGUACGGCCGCAAGGUUAAA